rnacentral:rRNA from 1 species
GACGAACGCUGGCGGCGUGCUUAACACAUGCAAGUCGAACGAUGAAGCCGGAGCUUGCUCCGGUGGAUUAGUGGCGAACGGGUGAGUAACACGUGAGCAAUCUGCCCUUGACUCUGGGAUAACUGCGGGAAACUGUAGCUAAUACCGGAUACGACACCUUGGGGCAUCCCAGGGUGUGGAAAGAAUUUCGGUCAAGGAUGAGCUCGCGGCCUAUCAGCUAGUUGGUGAGGUAAUGGCUCACCAAGGCGACGACGGGUAGCCGGCCUGAGAGGGUGACCGGCCACACUGGAACUGAGACACGGUCCAGACUCCUACGGGAGGCAGCAGUGGGGAAUAUUGCACAAUGGGCGAAAGCCUGAUGCAGCAACGCCGCGUGAGGGAUGAAGGCCUUCGGGUUGUAAACCUCUUUUAGCAGGGAAGAAGCGAAAGUGACGGUACCUGCAGAAAAAGGACCGGCCAACUACGUGCCAGCCGCCGCCGUAA